CGAGUAACCUGCCCUUAACUCUGGGAUAAGCCUGGGAAACUGGGUCUAAUACCGGAUAUGACUCCUCAUCGCAUGGUGGGGGGUGGAAAGCUUUAUUGUGGUUUUGGAUGGACUCGCGGCCUAUCAGCUUGUUGGUGAGGUAAUAGCUCACCAAGGCGAUGACGGGUAGCCGGCCUGAGAGGGUGACCGGCCACACUGGGACUGAGACACGGCCCAGACCUCCGUACGGGAGCAG
rnacentral:rRNA from 1 species